rnacentral:rRNA from 1 species
UACGUAGGGUGCGAGCGUUAAUCGGAAUUACUGGGCGUAAAGCGUGCGCAGGCGGUUUUGUAAGGCAGAUGUGAAAUCCCCGGGCUUAACCUGGGAAUGGCAUUUGGGACUGCAAGGCUUGAGUGCGGCAGAGGAGACUGGAAUUCCUGGUGUAGCAGUGAAAUGCGUAGAUAUCAGGAGGAACACCAAUGGCGAAGGCAGCUCGCUGGGACGGUACUGACGCUGAUGCACGAAAGCUAGGGGAGCAAACAGG